UACGAAGGGUGCAAGCGUUACUCGGAAUUACUGGGCGUAAAGCGUGCGUAGGUGGUUCGUUAAGUCUGUCGUGAAAGCCCCGGGCUCAACCUGGGAAUGGCGAUGGAUACUGGCGGGCUAGAGUGCGGUAGAGGGUGGUGGAAUUCCCGGUGUAGCAGUGAAAUGCGUAGAGAUCGGGGAGGAACAUCAGUUGCGAAGGCG
rnacentral:rRNA from 1 species